rnacentral:rRNA from 1 species
UACGGAGGGAGCUAGCGUUGUUCGGAAUUACUGGGCGUGAAGCGCACGUAGGCGGCUUUGUAAGUUAGAGGUGAAAGCCCGGGGCUCAACCCCGGAAUUGCCUUUAAGACUGCAUCGCUUGAAUCCAGGAGAGGUGAGUGGAAUUCCGAGUGUAGAGGUGAAAUUCGUAGAUAUUCGGAAGAACACCAGUGGCGAAGGCGGCUCACUGGACUGGUAUCGACGCUGAGGUGCGAAAGCGUGGGGAGCAAACAGG